rnacentral:rRNA from 1 species
UCUCAGUUCGGACUGUGGUCUGCAACCCGACCACACGAAGCUGGAAUCGCUAGUAAUCGUGAAUCAGAAUGUCACGGUGAAUACGUUCCCGGGUCUUGUACACACCGCCCGUCACACCAUGGGAGUCAGCAACGCCCGAAGUCAGUGACCUAACCGAGAGGGAGGAGCUGCCGAAGGCGGGGCCGGUAACUGGGGUGAAGUCGUAACAAGGUAAC